GCCGGGCGUGGUGGCUCACGCCUGUAAUCCCAGCACUUUGGGAGGCUGAGGUGGGGGGAUCACCUGAGGUCAGGAGUUCAAGACCAGCCUGGCCAAUAUGGUGAAACCCCAUCUCUA
rfam:Gorilla gorilla gorilla genomic chromosome, chr16, whole genome shotgun sequence